GGUUUUGUGGGGUAGGGGUUAGCCCUUCAGAUUCUGAUGUCGUCCGAAUUUGCUUCUGACAAUCCCGGUUCGAUUCCGGGCAAAACCU